rnacentral:rRNA from 1 species
UACAGAGGGGGCUAGCGUUGUUCGGAAUUACUGGGCGUAAAGGGCGCGUAGGUGGCCUGUUAAGUCGAACGUGAAAUCCCCGGGCUCAACCCGGGAACUGCGUCCGAGACUGGCAGGCUCGAAUCCGGGAGAGGGAUGUGGAAUUCCAGGUGUAGCGGUGAAAUGCGUAGAUAUCUGGAGGAACACCGGUGGCGAAGGCGGCAUCCUGGACCGGUAUUGACGCUGAGGCGCGAAAGCCAGGGAGCAAAGCGGG